UACGUAGGGUGCAAGCGUUAAUCGGAAUUACUGGGCGUAAAGCGUGCGCAGGCGGUGAUGUAAGACAGAUGUGAAAUCCCCGGGCUCAACCUGGGAACUGCAUUUGUGACUGCAUCGCUGGAGUGCGGCAGAGGGGGAUGGAAUUCCGCGUGUAGCAGUGAAAUGCGUAGAUAUGCGGAGGAACACCGAUGACGAAGGCAAUCCCCUGGGCCUGCACUGACGCUCAUGCACGAAAGCGUGGGGAGCAAACAGG
rnacentral:rRNA from 1 species